CCCGGAGAACGAGAUCACCCUCUCAAUGAAAGGCAGAUGUCCCUUUAAGGUUUGCUUCUACAGCCCGUGGACUUUAGCCUAAACACGGACCCGCGAAGCUGGCUUUAUUUGUCCAUGUCUCGGACAGAGCCUGGGAAGCUGCCAGUGAGAUUUCAGAGACCAAGAGCGCGAAGGGGCGGGCGAUGUGGCAAUCCGUCUGGGAUGUGAAAAGCGUGGAGCGCAUUUAGAGGCAUUCGACGAAAACACAGGAAAUCACUCUUCUCCCGCUCCUGGGCGCCGCUGCCACUGGGGCAGAGGACUGGGAACCGCCGCAGCGGGCUAAGUGGCCCAGCCAGAGAGCGCAGCUCCCGCGCCCGGUCCUGCCCUGCGAACCAGCGCGGUCCCCUGGCGCUGAGGCCGCUCCGGCCAUGACCCCUCGGCUCCGCGCCCGCCCAGGGGUCGCUGUCGCCUGCUGCUGGCUCCUCACUGACAGAAUCCUGCUCUGUUGCCCAGGCUGGAGUGGAGUGGCAUGAUCCCAGCCUAUGGUGACCUCUGCCUCCAGAGUUCAAGAGAUUCUCCUGCCUCAGGCUCCCAAGUAGCUAGGAUUAAAAGCAUGUGCCACCACGCCCUGCUAAUUUUUGUAUUUUUAGUAGAGAUGGGGUUUCACAUGUUGCUCAGGCUGGUCUUGAACUUCUGACCUAAAGUGAUCCACCCGCCUUGGCCUCUCAAAGUGCUAGGAUUACAGGCAUGAGCCACUGUGCCUGGCCAGAUUGUUCUCUCUUAAUGGGCUGAUAAGUAACCAAGUAAAACAUAUUGUACUUUUACCCCAUGCUAGAGGCAGCAAGCCCAAGCUGCAGAAUGCCCAAUUACACAAUCCUCUAUUAGCCACCAAAGAGAAGAUAAUUUUAAAUUUGUAUUACAUUAUUUAAAUAGAAAAAAUAAAGACAGAAGAUCCUUUAAAAAGCAAACUGGAUAAAUAGUACUUGAGAAUUCUAUAUAUUAUUUGUUACAACUGCAUGUAAACCUAUAAUCACCUCAAAAUGAAAAGUUUAAUUUUUAAACAAAGCCUGUUACUGUAUGGUUAAGGUGGAUAAUAGAGCUGCUUCUUAUUUUUAUUAUAGUAAAAUAUACAUAAAAUAAAAUGUAUUAUUUUAACUGCUUUAAAAUUGUAAUUCAGUGGCAUUAAGUACAUUUACAAGGUUGUGCAAUAUUGUGAACCACUGUCUGUUUCAGAACUUUUGUUACUACAUCCAGUGGAAAUUCUAUAUCUGUUAAGUAAUCACUCUUAUUCCUCCCUUCCCUCUGCACCUGGGAACUACAGAUCUGUUUUCUGUUCCUAUUAACAUGCCUCUUUAAAUAAUAUCUCAUAUAAAUGAAAUCAGACAAUAAAAUGGU
rnacentral:sRNA from 1 species